UGUCUUUGCACAUGGGAGCUCCUCUUCCUGGAAUUCUGCUUCCUGCCCCCCCUCACCCUACCCCACAGCCUCCCAGUCCUUCAGGGCCCAGCUCCAUUCCCCAGCUUCUCCAGGACACCACAGCCACCCCUUCUUCUGCCCUACCUUCCCCAGCACUGUUAUUAUGGUUCACUGUGCUGAACUUAACAGGAUGCCUCAUGAGGAGGGAAAUCUGUCCUGCUUACUUCCAGAAGCCCAGCAGAGGGCUGAGUAAAAGCUGCAGACUGACACACAUCUCCUCCCUCAUCAAUUCAGAUUUUGACUCUGGGAACAAGGAAGAGCCUCCAUGCCCAGGAGACACCAGACAAAGGGGUAGAACCCAAGACAGCCUAGUUCCCAGCCUUAAAAAAAAUUCACACUGGAGAAUUCUCCACCUCUUGCCAUUCUCCACCCUUCAGCCCCUGCAGAGGAUCCUGCACUCCACGGACAGGGGAUGGAGAAGUUGGGCCUCAGAAAACAGACAUAAAGAGAGAAGGAUUGGGGUCGGGGGGCUCCCCCACCCUCCGCCUGAGCGCAGAGGACCCUUAGGUUGCAGGCUGCGGCUGUGGAUCUGGACCGGCCUCGAUCUUCCAGGGAAGGAACUCUUUCUCCGCAGCCUCGGGCUUCAGAGGCAACAGAAGCCUCUCUCUCUACCUCACAAGUGUCACAACUGCCAAAGCAGAGGGAGCGCCUUCUCUAGCCCAGAGGCCCCUUCCUCUCAACACACUUCGUAACAGCCCCCUGCAACUCCUGGGGGCACCCCACCUCUGAGUCCCAUCUCCCAGCCCUAAGCUCUUCCACUCAGAGACUUUUCUCUCGGAGCGGGAAACCCUCCGACCUCAGGAGUCCCUCGCGGCUCCCGGGGGCCGGUACCGCCGCCCUUGGUACAGGAACCCACCGUCCCCGAACCACCGCCGGCUUGCAGUGGCCCGUCCCCGCCCCGCCCGGCCGGCCGCGCCCGCCCAACUUGA